GUGAAUGCAUGUGCUUUAUUCAUAUAGUGCGCAUAUUCACAUUCAAAACAAAGGGGGAAGAAGCUGAGAACAGGACACUGCUUUCAGUCCCAGGCCACUUCAGGUGCUCUUGGGAAACCUCUCGUAUUUUGAGAGAAGAACAUUUCUGGUCUGUCCAGAGGAAGGAAGGACAUUAUCCCCAAACACCACUGGAGGUGUGAUGGGAAUAGAAAUGCCAGUGUUAGAACUGUCUGAAGACUGGUCUCUCCCUCCCAUCAGCGCUAUCUACCAGUCUUGAAUUGCAGCCCAGGCAGAGGUGAUCAGUUUUCUUACCCUAUAUUUCUUCUGGACCCCACUUCUUUUACUUCCCACCAUGAGCUUUGAAUAGCCCAAGCUCUGGAAGGAAGUGAAUGAGCUCCACAUCAGUUACCCAUUUCAGCUGGUCUUUGCAAUUGCUCCUCAGCCAAACACUGCUGCUUCUGAAAGAUAAAUGCAUGCAUGGCCGCUGCUCAAAGGAAAACAUGCAAAUACACCACAUUUGGCAGGCAACUUAGUAUAAGUUACAUUUGUACCUUUGUUCCCUCUCCUGCUUUGGGCCUGCCACACAGAACAGCAGCCAAAAUGCAUCUCAAAGAUUAGGUCUGGUCUCAGAGCAUUAAUUUUGCACACCUAAGUUACUGCUAGACCCAAUGACUGGAGUAUGAUCACGACUCAUUUGAAGCUUGAUGUAUGGCAUUUUGUUCAAACAAGUGCCCACAUAAAUGGAAAAAUAAUCAUUAAAGGACAAAGAAAAAAGACAAAUUUAAAAUUGUU
rnacentral:lncRNA from 1 species